CACGUAGUUAGCCGGGGCUUCUUACUCAGGUACCGUCAUCUUCUUCCCUGCUGAUAGAGCUUUACAUACCGAAAUACUUCUUCACUCACGCGGCGUUGCUGCAUCAGGGUUUCCCCCAUUGUGCAAUAUUCCCCACUGCUGCCUCCCGUAGGAGUUUGGGCCGUGUCUCAGUCCCAAUGUGGCCGGUCACCCUCUCAGGUCGGCUACUGAUCGUCGCCUUGGUGGGCCGUUACCCCUCCAACUAGCUAAUCAGACGCGGGUCCAUCUCAUACCACCGGAGUUUUUCACACAAGAACAUGCAUCCUCGUGCGCUUAUGCGGUAUUAGCAGUCAUUUCUAACUGUUAUCCCCCUGUAUGAGGCAGGUUACCCACGCGUUACUCACCCGUCCGCCACUCAGUCAAUCUAGCUUCCAUCCGAAAACUUCCGCUAAAUCGCUUCGUUCGACUUGCAUGUGUUAAGCACGCCGCCAGCGUUCAUCCUGAGCCAGGAUCAAACU
rnacentral:rRNA from 1 species